GACGUAGGAUGCAAGCGUUGUCCGGAUUUAUUGGGCGUAAAGAGCUCGUAGGCGGCUUGUUGCGUCGGCUGUGAAAACCCGCAGCUCAACUGUGGGCUUGCAGCUGAUACGGGCAGGCUAGAAUUCGGUAGGGGAGACUGGAAUUCCUGGUGUAGCGGUGAAAUGCGCAGAUAUCAGGAGGAACACCGGUGGCGAAGGCGGGUCUCUGGGCCGAUAUUGACGCUGAGGAGCGAAAGCGUGGGGAGCAAACAGG
rnacentral:rRNA from 1 species